rnacentral:lncRNA from 1 species
UCAAGAUAAUUGAUGUUGUUUUAUUUAAGAACCUACGUCGUAUCACUCAUAUCACUGAAAAAUAAAACUAGAAGGUGUACGGAGUUUUUGUAAUGUUUGAAAUCUUUAAACCUCAAUUAUCAAUAAAUUUAAUUUAAAAUAAAAAUAAAUUCUCACUAACAAUCUAUGUUUUAAAUUAGUGCCUUAUUUCUUGUAUGAUUCAAAAUAUAUGAACUCGUCAUAGAUUAAAAAACAUUGAAAAGGAUUGCUAGUUUUUUC